rnacentral:tRNA from 1 species
AUUUAUAUAGUUUAAUAAAAACAUUACAUUUUCAUUGUAAAAUUAGAAAAAUUUUCCUUAUAAAUA